AACGAGUAGACCUGUUUGGGUUUUCUGUUCAUAGAAUGGACUAGCCUGAAUCGUCUAUAAUAAUACACCGAGGAAUUGAGUGAACACUGAUAACACCGCUUGCACGUCAUACGGAAUAACCCCCUUUGGGAUUAGCAGUAGGACUGUUGUUCUGUAUUGCAGAAAUAUGUAUGUUACAGAUGCUCAGCUAGACGAGCUAUCAGGCUCGAUCCCAUCGUCCCAAUACUUCACUGUCUGUCAGUCGUUGGGUGUACUAACCAAUCAGGGAGCUAUGGUCUUAGAGAUGAGAGGGAACAACUACCAGAAAGCUUUCGGGAUAGUUCUUCGAUUGUGGAAUGAGAGAACUGGAGGAACCCGAACACGUCUCCGUGCAGCCCUGAAGGACGCAGGAGCAGGGGAUCUCAUGAAGGAAUGAAAGCAAUGAUUUACAAUAUUAGGUUAAAGGCGUGUUGCAAUCGUAUAGAUCAAGACGGUUAGAAAGUA